rnacentral:rRNA from 1 species
UACGUAGGGUGCAAGCGUUAAUCGGAAUACUGGGCGUAAAGCGUGCGCAGGCGGUGAUGUAAGACAGGUGUGAAAUCCCCGGGCUUAACCUGGGAACUGCAUUUGUGACUGCAUCGCUGGAGUGCGGCAGAGGGGGAUGGAAUUCCGCGUGUAGCAGUGAAAUGCGUAGAGAUGUGGAGGAAUACCGAUGGCGAAGGCAGCCCCCUGGGCCAAUACUGACGCUCAUGCACGAAAGCGUGGGGAGCAAACAGG